rnacentral:rRNA from 1 species
UACGGGGGGGGCAAGCGUUGUUCGGAAUUACUGGGCGUAAAGGGCGCGUAGGCGGCCUGCUAAGUCACACGUGAAAUCCCUCGGCUCAACCGGGGAACUGCGUGUGAUACUGGCGGGCUUGAAUUCGGGAGAGGGAUGUGGAAUUCCAGGUGUAGCGGUGAAAUGCGUAGAUAUCGGGAGGAACACCAGUGGCGAAGGCGAGUCUCUGGGAUGAUGCUGACGCUGAGGCGCGAAAGCCAGGGGAGCAAACGGG